GUUUCUGUAGUGUAGUGGUUAUCACGCUCGCCUAACACGCGAGAGGUCCCCGGUUCGAAACCGGGCAGAAACA
rnacentral:tRNA from 4 species